AUGGACGACUUCAUGCAGUGGGCGAUGAACACGCUGGACCAGCAGCAGUACCACGCUGCUGCGGCCGCCGCGGCUCCUCCUGUAUACGGUGGUGCUGCUGGCUCCAGCUCCGGUGGCAGCAGUGCUGGUGCCGCCUUCCCCUCGCUGCAGGCGCUCCGCGAGUCCACGGCGGCCGGCGCCGGCGUCAGGGACCUGAGGGUGCAGGUGGACCACCACCAGCCCAGCAGCUGGAGCACCAGCUCCGGCGACAGCCCCGGCGCCGCCAUGGACCACGACGCGGCCGCCGCCGGGCCCGGGUGGUCCCCGCACACGGCCCGCGCCAGGACCAGGGCCACCAGCAGCAGCAGGCCCAUGAGCUGGAACUUCAGCGCCGCCGCCGCGUCCGCGCAGCUGCCGGCUGACAUCGACAUCUCCCCGCGGCCGGCCCCUGCCCCCAGAGGCCACAGUACGCCCGCCGCCGGGAGGAGAUCGGGGGCCAGCGCGCAGGGCACAACGGCCGGGCCGUCUGCCUCUCCGGGGCCCGUGCAGGACCACAUCAUCGCCGAGCGCCGCCGCCGGGAGAAGAUCAACCAGCGCUUCAUCGAGCUCUCCACCGUCAUCCCCAACCUCAAGAAGAUGGACAAGGCGACGAUUCUUGGGGACGCGGUGAAGUACGUGAGGGAGCUGCAGGAGAAGGUGAAGACCAUGGAGGACGACGACAGCGCCGCCGCCGCCGCCACCACCACCACCACCAUCCGGUCUGCCGUGCUCGUCAGCAAGAAGAUCAAGGCGGACGACGAAGACGACGACGACGAGGACGCCGGCGAGUCGAGCCACGGCGGGCUGCCGGAGAUCGAGGUGCGGGUGUCGGGCGAGAAGACCGUGCUGGUGCGGAUCCACUGCAAGAACGCGAGGGGGCUGCUGGUGAGGGUGCUGGCGGAGGUGGAGGAGCUCCGGCUCGCCAUCACCCACACCAGCGUCAUGCCCUUCCCCGCCGACACCGCCAUCAUCACCAUCACCGCAAAGGUACUUUACUCCAUGCAUGUGAACUCCAUUAUAGCUAGAAAGCUGUGUGACCGGAUCCGGAGAUGUGACAACCCCAAAUGGGACAUCCUUAUAGAUCUCUGGAAAAAUAAAAGGCCACUAUAUAUGCUGUAG
rnacentral:rRNA from 1 species